GUUUUAAUAGUUUAAACAAAAACUUUGGUCUUGUAAAUCAAAAUUAAGGAUUCGACCUUUUAAAACU
rnacentral:tRNA from 1 species